UUGAGAAAUAGAGAAGAAAGAGUUAGGGAGAAAUUUUUAGUUGCAAGAAGAGUAGAGGUUCUGAAGGGUUUCGGGGGAAACAAAUUCGGAGCAGGAGAUUAAGUCUGGAAUAGAGAUGAAGGAAUGUCGUCUGAUCCAAUGCCAAUGAAGAGAGAGACAGAAGAAUAAGUUAGAAGAAUUCGAAUUAUAUUUAUGAGUUUAUAGUUGAAAUAUGAAUUUAAAACAUGUGUAGACAUAUAUUAACUAUGAAUUUAUAAGUGUGAGAUUUCGGGAUAUUACCGUAAAUGUAAUAUUACAAUAUAUGAAUUAUGAAUUAUCCAGCGUGAGAUAUUGGG
rnacentral:sRNA from 1 species